GGAUGCGAUCAUACCAUCACUAAAGCACCGGAUCCCAUCAGAACUCCGAAGUUAAGCGUGCUUGGGCGAGAGUAGUACUAGGAUGGGUGACCUCCUGGGAAGUCCUCGUGUUGCGUUCC
rnacentral:rRNA from 1 species